GACGAACGCUGGCGGCGUGCCUAAUACAUGCAAGUUGAGCGAUGAAGAUUGGUGCUUGCACCAAUUCGAAGAGCAGCGAACGGGUGAGUAACGCGUGGGGAAUCUGCCUUUGAGCGGGGGACAACAUUUGGAAACGAAUGCUAAUACCGCAUAACAACUUUAAACAUAAGUUUUAAGUUUGAAAGAUGCAAUUGCAUCACUCAAAGAUGAUCCCGCGUUGUAUUAGCUAGUUGGUGAGGUAAAGGCUCACCAAGGCGAUGAUACAUAGCCGACCUGAGAGGGUGAUCGGCCACAUUGGGACGUAGACACGGCCCAAACUCCUACGGGAGGCAGCAGUAGGGAAUCUUCGGCAAUGGACGAAAGUCUGACCGAGCAACGCCGCGUGAGUGAAGAAGGUUUUCGGAUCGUAAAACUCUGUUGGUAGAGAAGAACGUUGGGGAGAGUGGAAAGCUCAUCAAGUGACGGUAACUACCCAGAAAGGGACGGCUAACUACGUG
rnacentral:rRNA from 1 species